AUAAAUACUGUGUGUGACUUUCAUUUCUUCAUCAGAUGAUGGAGCACAACCGAGCCAUGUCACUCACAUCAGCCUCCUCAACACAAACAUGUUUCCUGAUGCUGAUACUGCUGGUGGCAUGGGUAGAUUGUGCUAUUGAACACACUCAGCCCAGUUCCAUCAUGGUAAAGCCAGGAGAGUCUCUGACAGUUACCUGCAAAGUGACUGGAGCUUCCAUUACAGAUGGCAGCAGCUACUGGGGAACAGCCUGGAUUCGUCAGGCAGCAGGGAAACCUCUAGAGUGGAUCAACAGGCUCUACUAUAAUGAAGACAAAAAUGAAAACAAUGCCCUGAAGAACAAGUUCAGUGUCUCCAGAGACACGUCCAGUAACACAGUGACUCUACAGGGCCAGAAUCUACAGGCUGGAGACACAGCUGUGUAUUACUGUGCCCGAGAGGCACUGUGA